rnacentral:rRNA from 1 species
GUGGGGAAUAUUGGACAAUGGGCGAAAGCCUGAUCCAGCCAUGCCGCGUGUGUGAAGAAGGUCUUCGGAUUGUAAAGCACUUUAAGUUGGGAGGAAGGGCAGUAAGUUAAUACCUUGCUGUUUUGACGUUACCGACAGAAUAAGCACCGGCUAACUUCGUGCCAGCAGCCGCGGUAAUACGUAGGGUGCAAGCGUUAAUCGGAAUUACUGGGCGUAAAGCGUGCGCAGGCGGUUAUAUAAGACAGAUGUGAAAUCCCCGGGCUCAACCUGGGAACUGCAUUUGUGACUGUAUAGCUAGAGUACGGUAGAGGGUAGUGGAAUUUCCUGUGUAGCGGUGAAAUGCGUAGAUAUAGGAAGGAACACCAGUGGCGAAGGCGACUACCUGGACUGAUACUGACACUGAGGUGCGAAAGCGUGGGGAGCAAACAGGAUUAGAAACCCGGAGUCC